rnacentral:lncRNA from 1 species
ACUUUCUGAGAUCAGGUUAAAGGCAAGAAAUUCAGGAGUUCCCAUCGUGGCUCAGUGGUUAAUGAACCUGACCAGCAUCCAUAAGGACUCAGGUUCAAUCCCUGGCCUUGCUCAGAGGGUUAAGGAUGCGGCGUUGCCUGAGCUGUGGUGUAGGUUGCAGACGUGGCUUGGAUCCUGUGUUGCUAUGGCUGUGGCAUAGCCUGGCGUCUUCAGCUCUGAUUCAACCCCUAGCCUGGGAACCUCCAUAUGCCACAGGUGCGUCCAAAAAAAAAAAAAAAAAAAAAAAAAAAAAAAAGGGCAAGAAAUUCAGAUGAGCCAUGCAUUUCUUAAGAGGUGAGUUCUAUGUCUGAAGGAUGCCUUUCAAGCAGAUACAGAAGAUGACAUCUGAACAGUAGGGAGAGUCAGGGGAAUACAUACCAGUCCACAGAAGGGACAGCUUCUAGAACAAAGACUGCAAACUUAUUAGGGCCAGACGAAUAAAACAAAUGAGUGAACCAAGCCGGGUGGGGUUAUGCACAGCCCCUGUACAACCGCUCAGCGGCCUCUGGCCACGGAAGGCUCCGAGUCUUUCUGCAACAGCCCCAGCACACAGCACGGCCCAGUGGGAGGACCACUGACUUUAAAGUCAGGUGGAAGGAGCCCUGUGUCCCAGUUCCACUGCACAUUAUCAGCAUGACCUGAAAUAAGUUACUUAAAACCCUUUGGGCCUCUGAGUUGUUUUGUGUGUGUGUGUGUGUGUGUGACCUGAGAUCGCUGUUGCUGACACUAUAUAAUUAUUGUGAAUACUCAGGGAAAAGUGCCUAAAAUGUGAUGGUUGAUAUACAUGUUUCCUACUUUGCUUUUAUUACCAUUUACAUAGCACUUAACUGUGUGCAAGACACAGCUCUUCAACUCAUUUAUUCCUCACAACAACCCUAGGAGGUAGCUUCUCAGUUUACAAAUGAAGCACAGAAAGGGUAAAUAAUUUGACCAGGGACACACAGCAGGCAACUAAAAGACUGUCAAAAACUCAAAAACAGGAGGAUUCAUUCUUAGAUGCUACAGGAGAUUCUAUCCCUCAAACUACCAUAAGCCUCUUUGUCUUUUCUUUCAACCUAAAUGUGCUGCAAGUACAUAGGGUACCUUCUGACUCCCACUCCCACUACUGACUCCCAUGCCGUGGGCUCCCCGCUGCUGUCACCCCACAGGUGCUCCCUCAAAGGCACUCCAGACUCGGGGCUCAGUGUUGUAGGGUGGCUCAUGGUCCCCUCUCCUCAACCCUGCGUUAACACCUUCUCUGCCGGGCACCAACCUCCGAGGGCUGCCUAGGCCUCUGAAAUUCCCUGUUCUCUUUGAAAGUCCCUCCAUGGUCUCCCUCUCAGAGGUAAGUCCCAGGUCCCAGCCCCUCCCUCCCCUGUGCUCCUGCUCCUCUUCCCUCUCAGAUGCUAGGCACCAAGUCCCUGCAAAGCGUGUUUUCAAUGCACACCUCAGGGCCCAAGCUCCACACCUCGUCCCUGGGCCGGCACCCACCUACACACGGACCCUCUCUGCUCCGGGUCCUGCCAGCAACGUGCGUGACUUCAGCUGCCACAGGAAAGCCCACCCAGCUCGGGGCUGUGAGCGCCUUAACUUUCCCGUCUCCCAGGGCCAGCCCUCCCCCGACCUGAGCGGCCCACUCAAUGACCCAGUUCUUUUCUCAUCAUCUGAACUGCUUUGCUUCUGAAAGGGUAAGCUCUGACAGCCCUCCUCUGACCACACCCUCUUAGCCUUCAGCUCCCUUUACUGACUACUCAGGAAACCAACUGGUUACUCAGGAUAACCAAAGCUACUAAUCCUAAACCCCAAAUCUGACCUUUCCACUGUGUGCCCUCGGAAAGUUCCAGCAACAAGCCAGCUGUCCAGCCAGAAGCUUACACGUUACCUUUUACUCCUCCCCCUCCUCGUCCAUAGCCAACGAACCCCAAUCUGCCACACGCCUCCCAUCCUUCAACACCUACCCGAGUCUCUCCUGCUAUCCGAUCACCAUCGCUUCUCAUCCAGAAUCCUCUGUCCAAUGGUGUCCUGACCAGCAUUUCGCUUCCAGGACCUGCUUCCCUGAAAUCUAUUCUUCCGCAGACAGAAUGGUCCUUCUAAAACAUGGUCUAAUCACAUCACUCCAAUACUUAACAUCACGAAUACUGCCCUUCAGAAGAGGACAAGAUGCCCUAAUGCAGCUUCAGGGGCACUUCUUGAUCGAGCGGCUGCCCACCGCUCCUGCCUUCUCGCCUGUUUCCUCCGUUCCCGCUGCACACAGCUGCCAGGUCUUCAGAGGCCCCGGGUCUCCCUCUUGCCUUUGGGGCUUGGUACACUCCAGUCCCCUUGCCCAUAACAUGCCUUUUUCUCAUGCUUCACCUGGGCUUUCCUCACGCGAGAGUCAUGGUAAAUAUUACAACUUCCUUAAGAGGCCACCCUGGUCCCCAGACUUGGUCAGGCCCCCGGGUUGGUGUUCCUGUAGCAAACCUGCACGCCCCAUGACAGUCACCCCACAGAGUGGCGUCCCCCUCACCAGCCUGUGGUUCCGUGAAGCAAGCCCGGGGCUCUCUCGUGCAGCGCCACGCGCCCGGCCACGCGGGGCUGGUCCGGACGGACCCUCGGCGAGUACGUGUCGAAUAAACGAGCACGUGGUUGAGUCUCAAUCCCUUGUCCCCCACCUCCUGACUCUGGGCUCGAGGUUCAGCUCCACGUUCUUCAGGUGCCUGAUGGACCCCUCACCAAGACCUAACUAAACACGUGCACAGUGGACAGAGCUCAUCGUCCCUCUCACAUUCGUGCUCUUUAAAAUCUCCUACAGCAGAAAGAACACAGAUGCGGACAUCAGGGAGGCCUGGGAUGUGCUGCUCGACGCCCAUCAGCUGUGUCCUAAUUUCAGACAAAUCUUUCUUUGAGCCUUCGUUUCCUCAUCUCUGAAGUAAGGACAAAAUUACCAGCCUCACAGGAUUAGGAUAAGACCGCACGAGAUAACGUCGGGAAAUGCCUGCAAAUGGCGCGGAAGUAACAAAUGGCACCUGAGUGGAAAGAUGUGGAGGAAUGUUGCUUCCUUCCUCCUGCCCACCGGCCGCCCCCUCUCCUCCAGGCGGUCUGCUCCAUUCCAGUCGCCCCCUCACGCAGGCCCUCUGCUCCUGCUUCCUAGACCCUCUCACGACAGCUCCACUGGCCUUCCCCGGCUCUGGUUUUCUCACUGCCCAGGCCACCCC